GAGUGCCGUCCGCAGAGGACAGCUUUUCUCCGGUGUAAUGAGCCGGAGGAAUAAGGGGAGGGCAAGACUGGUGUCAGCCGCCGCGGUAAUACCAGCUCCUCGAGUGGUGGGGAUGAUUAUUAGGCCUGAAGCGUCCGUAGCCGGCUCGGUAAGUCUUCCGUUAAAUCCAACGACCUAAUCGUUGGGCCGCGGGAGAUACUGUCGGGCUAGGGGGCGGAAGAAGCCGACGGUAUUCCUGGGGUAGGGGUGAUAUCCUAUAAUCCUAGGAGGACCACCAGUGGCGAAGGCGGUCGGCUAGUACGCGCCCGACGGUGAGGGACGAAAGCUGGGGGAGCGAACCGGAUUAGAUACCCGGGUAGUCCCAGCCGUAAACGAUGCAGGCUAGGUGUUGGAUUAGCUACGAGCCAAUCCAGUGCCGCAAGGAAGCCAUUAAGCCUGCCGCCUGGGGAGUACGGUCGCAAGACUGAAACUUAAAGGAAUUGGC
rnacentral:rRNA from 1 species